GUCUGGAGCCCCUGGUAAAGGCUGCACUCAGGAUCACCCAUCUUCAUCAGUGAACUGGAAACAUGUGAGCCAUGGCUUUGUCAUUUGAAAGGAGAGAUUAAAUCCAAGUGGUCUGAAAGGCUCAGUGGCAGGAUGGGUCCAUUGCAAUGCAAGCUGCAGAGCCUGACACAGACCUUGACCCCAAGUACUUGGAGGUGUGUAAUAUGACCUGCUGUGCCAUGACACCUGCUGAAUGCAGUCACUCUGGACAUGCUUGUUGCCUCCUGCUCUCCAAGAAAACAAGAGUGAUGCAAACAACAGCAGCCAUUCUGCCUAAGAAAUGUUGGAGCUUCUUCUUGAUGAUACAGCUUUCGCUUUCUGUGUUCCUCAUUCACUCCACAGUGGGACAGCCUUUUGUUUCAGAGCCAACUUUUCCCAGCGAGAUGACACGAGGUGAAAAAGCUACAGGUGAGGUGCAGGUGCUGUGUCCUACAAGAAGGGGCUGCUCCCCUCUGGCCUAAGGCCUGCCUGGAUGAAGGAAGAGGUGAAGCAGGUGUGUGUGAAGGACACGACUUGUGCCACUGCUGCCUGGUGAAGUGACAAGUUGUUUGAUGAGGACUCCCUGACAACUGGCUGGCUGUGCUGCCUGUGCAGGCAGGUGGGUGCUGUCAUAGCUUGGUGUUUGUCAGGUGGGCCCAUCCCUGAGGGCUGGGCAGGCCGCGCUGGCUGUGGUGGUGAAGCCAGUCCGCACUUUCUUGCCUUCUGCCUGGCUGUUUCCCUGAUUGCCACACAGUAAGCUGGGACACUGCAGCAGUCUUGCUUAAAAUGAUGCUUUUCUUCGUGAGGAGAAUGGGGAGGGUUAUUCUCAGUGGCCUCAAAAAACUGGAAGGUGGAGUUUUGUCUUGGUGCACCUAGAUGGUCCUUCACAAGGAGCUGGCGGAGGCCGCAGGCGCCUCUGGGAAUGACUGAGAGUUUGUCAUGGAAGCUUUGAAGAGGAAGAGGGGUUUAAUGUGGAUCUGUAGUUUAAACCCAUUCCAUCGUCACUGGCUUCCUGGGUAAGGAAAUGACCAGAUGAGGAACCACCCGCCCAAAGGAAGAAAAUAUUCUGCAUCUCCUUUUUUAUACAGAGCUGCAGGGCAACACUGACAAUAUGAAGUUAGUCUGGGCAGAGGAAGUGAACCAUCAAAUCUCUGUGGAGGGAAUGAGGGCUCUGAUGCUGGCUGCUGAGAGCAGUGCGAGGUCCCUCUUGAAUAUCAGUGGGAAAUGAUGAUGAGAUAUUUUCACAGGGCGGAUAUGCAAAGCAAAAUAGUUACACGGCUCACGGUGAAGCACUGCCAGGACUACCUUGGUAUGAGGAAAUAAUCUUCAUAUCUUCUGGGAGACUCCUAAAUUAAAUGGCUGAUGUUUUAGAGAAUUGACGUGAGUUAUUUCGGGGAUGUAUCCCCCAAGUUCUUAUUACCACGCUGUUAGGAGGAUGUCCUGAUUUUCAGCAAUUAAACAAAGAUAGGUAACUGCUUAACAUUCUGUGGCUGAAGCCAGUAGCUGUAUUAAAUUACUGUGUGUGCAGAGACAGAUACCAUCCACAGGAACGGAGUUGGCCAAAAUAAGAUAAUUAAGAGGAAUGGAGUGACUUGCUGCCUCUGCUAGAUUAGCAGCUGAACUGUUUGAGGAAGGAAAAGACCAAAUGACGUUUUUGCUUUAACAUUUGCAAUAACAGUACUCUUCCUCAGCACCUAUUCCAUCUCAACUCUACCAUCUCUUCCUUAAAAUUCUCUUUAUGUAUAAAAAUGGCUGAUAUGGACAACAACUCCAUUGCUCUCUAACAACAGAUGCCAUAUGAAAGGGACUCCUCAGUCUGUUCUUCCAGCGUGGUUGUUAGGGCUGAAAACAUGGGACUGUGUUUCUGUAGCUAAUAGGCAGUCUGGAUGUUUCUCUGAGCCCGAGGCUCCCCCCGUGUUGUUGCUCUCUGCCUCUCUCCAGCUAAAAGCAGAUCUUAGCACAACUUACUAGUAUUCUGCCAUCACUCAGCCUGCCUGCAUACAUGAUCACCAAUAAUCAGCUGCACAGUAGCAGCUUGUUUUCUGCUAUCUGGCUUGUUGGAGAUGAUAUAUGAAGUAUAAAGAAUACUGUGAGAUGUUUUUCUUAAGCUACGUUAAGCCCACUGUGCUGACAGCAGCAAAACAGAACUUGUUUUGACAGGGAGUUGAGCUAAUGUGACACAUAAGCUAAAUGCAGGAAGGAUGAGGAUCUCUAUCAGACCCCGGUGAUUUUUAUUCUGUGGGUCAUUUUAAAAAGCCUUUCCCCAGCACUUGUUUUCUGAGCUGUCACCUUCUCCACAAUGUGAAAGACAUUUUUUUCCCCCCUCCCGUUGGUCUUUGUAGCUUCCAGCACAAUUCAAAGGCUCGAGAUUUAUUUUAAGAUUUAUGGAUCAUUACAAUAUUGGUAGUGUUGCAUCUUUAUGUGGUGGUGAUAUGUCACCGUGAGUUGUUGCUCCCAAGGAAGCUGAUGCAGUUUG
ensembl:lncRNA